rnacentral:rRNA from 1 species
UACGUAGGCAGCGAGCGUUGUUCGGAAUUACUGGGCGUAAAGGGCUCGUAGGCGGCCAACUAAGUCAGACGUGAAAUCCCUCGGCUUAACCGGGGAACUGCGUCUGAUACUGGAUGGCUUGAGAUUGGGAGAGGGAUGCGGAAUUCCAGGUGUAGCGGUGAAAUGCGUAGAUAUCUGGAGGAACACCGGUGGCGAAGGCGGCAUCCUGGACCAACACUGACGCUGAGUGAGCGAAAGCCAGGGGAGCAAACGGG